rnacentral:misc_RNA from 1 species
GAUGAAGAACGCAGCGAAAUGCGAUACGUAAUGUGAAUUGCAGAAUUCAGUGAAUCAUCGAGUAUUUGAACGCACAUUGCGCCCCCUGGUAUUCCGGGGGGCAUGCCUGUCCGAGCGUCAUUGCUGCCCUCAAGCACGGCUUGUGUGUUGGGCCUCCGUCCUCCUCCCGGGGGACGGGCCCGAAAGGCAGCGGCGGCACCGCGUCCGGUCCUCGAGCGUAUGGGGCUUCGUCACCCGCUCUUGUAGGCCCGGCCGGCGCUUGCCGACACAUCAAUCUUUUUUCCAGGUUGACCUCGGAUCAGGUAGGGAUACCCGCUGAACUUAAGCAUAUCAAUAAGCGGAGGA